AAACUUGAGAGUUUGAUCAUGGCUCAGAACGUACGCUGGCGGCACGCCUAACACAUGCAAGUCGAACGAAGUAGCAAUACUUAGUGGCAGACGGGUGAGUAACAUGUAGGUAUCUGCCCUUUGGCCUGGAAUAACACGAGGAAACUUGUGCUAAUACCGGAUAAGUCUUUACGGAGAAAGCUUUAUGCACCAUUGGAUGAGCCUGCACUUGAUUAGUUUGUUGGUGGGGUAAUGGCCUACCAAGACUGUGAUCAAUAGCUGAUUUGAGAGGAUGAUCAGCCACAUUGGGACUGAGACACGGCCCAAACUCCUACGGGAGGCAGCAGUGGGGAAUCUUGCACAAUGGAGGAAACUCUGAUGCAGCGAUGCCGCGUGAGUGAAGAAGGCCCUUGGGUUGUAAAGCUCUUUCGUCGGGGAAGAAAAUGACUGUACCCGAAUAAGAAGGUCCGGCUAACUUCGUGCCAGCAGCCGCGGUAAUACGAAGGGACCUAGCGUAGUUCGGAAUUACUGGGCUUAAAGAGUUCGUAGGUGGUUGAAAAAGUUAGUGGUGAAAUCCCAGAGCUUAACUCUGGAACUGCCAUUAAAACUUUUCAGCUAGAGUAUGAUAGAGGAAAGCAGAAUUUCUAGUGUAGAGGUGAAAUUCGUAGAUAUUAGAAAGAAUACCAAUUGCGAAGGCAGCUUUCUGGAUCAUUACUGACACUGAGGAACGAAAGCAUGGGUAGCGAAGAGGAUUAGAUACCCUCGUAGUCCAUGCCGUAAACGAUGUGUGUUAGACGUUGGAAAUUUAUUUUCAGUGUCGCAGGGAAACCGAUAAACACACCGCCUGGGGAGUACGACCGCAAGGUUAAAACUCAAAUGAAUUGACGGGGACCCGCACAAGUAGUGGAGCAUGUGGUUUAAUUCGAAGAUACGCGCAGAACCUUACCAACACUUGACAUGUUCGUCGCGACUCUAAGAGAUUAGAGUUUUCGGUUCGGCCGGACGAAACACAGGUGCUGCAUGGCUGUCGUCAGCUCGUGUCGUGAGAUGUUGGGUUAAGUCCCGCAACGAGCGCAACCCUCACUUUUAGUUGCCAUCAUUAAGUUGGGCACUCUGAAAGAACUGCCAGUGAUAAGCUGGAGGAAGGUGGGGAUGACGUCAAGUCCUCAUGGCCCUUACGUGUUGGGCUACACACGUGCUACAAUGGUAUCUACAACAGGAAGCAAAACUGCGAAGUUAAGCAAAUCCCUAAAAGAUACCUCAGUUCGGAUUGCACUCUGCAACUCGAGUGCAUGAAGCUGGAAUUACUAGUAAUCGUGGAUCAGCGUGCCACGGUGAAUGCGUUCCCGGGUCUUGUACACACCGCCCGUCACACCAUGGGAGUUGGUUCUACCUUAAGGCAAGGUUUAAAACCCUUGACCACGGUAUAGUCAGCGACUGGGGUGAAGUCGUAACAAGGUAGCCGUAGGGGAACCUGCGGCUGGAUUACCUCCUUU
rnacentral:rRNA from 1 species